rnacentral:tRNA from 1 species
GGGAGAGUGGCUCAGUGGUAGAGUGCUUGCCUUGCAUGCAUGAGGCCCUGGGUUCAAUUCCUCAGCACCA